rfam:Camelus ferus unplaced genomic scaffold scaffold593, whole genome shotgun sequence.
GGAGGUAUACAGCUCAGUGGUAGAGCACAUGCGUAGUAUGCAUGAGGUCCUGGGUUCAAUCCCCAGUACCUCCA